GCCACAGGAAAGUGGACAUGUAGGAAUGCAUAUAUUGGGACCAGAAGACCCACUGGAGGAUCAGGUUCUACAGGAAGGUCCGGGAGACACACCAUCCACACCAAAGCCAUCAAGAAGGUGCUGGGACCGACAUCCCUCAGAAGUUCAGUGGUCUCCUGUCUGAAGUUGACUACGUGCCAGACCCUUGGCAGGUGUGGAGGACAGCGUGGAGGCCCAGGAAAACCCAGUCCCUUCCUCUGUGGUCCUUCCAUGAUUCCAGGGAGACAGGCACCAUACAGCCAUGUCAACACACACCUACUCGAUCACAGUUAGGGAACAAAGUUUAAGAGCAUUAAAUGGAUGUGGAGGAGGGAGAUAAGGUCAAGACCAGAACUGGAAUCUACAUCAUAACCUCGCUGGCUCUUAAGCCUUCAAACAGUACCGCUGGCUUUCCUGGGUCUUGGGCUUGCUGAUGGAAGAUCAUGGACUUCCUGUCUCCAUAAUGACGAGAUCCUGGGUGGCAGUGGAGGCCUGACCCUUACCUCAUCGGAGAAAUCCGGAUUCUGGGAAUGGUGCAGAACUGCUGUGUGGGCCGCUGAGGUGAAGAGAGGCCCUCCAGGUUUUCCGUAAAUACACUGUUUAAAA